rnacentral:rRNA from 1 species
UACGAAGAGGGCUAGCGUUGCUCGGAAUCGCUGGGCGUAAAGGGUGCGUAGGCGGGUCUUUAAGUCAGGGGUGAAAUCCUGGAGCUCAACUCCAGAACUGCCUUUGAUACUGAGGAUCUUGAGUUCGGGAGAGGUGAGUGGAACUGCGAGUGUAGAGGUGAAAUUCGUAGAUAUUCGCAAGAACACCAGUGGCGAAGGCGGCUCACUGGCCCGGUACUGACGCUGAGGUGCGAAAGCGUGGGGAGCA